UACGAAGGGGGCAAGCGUUGUUCGGAAUUACUGGGCGUAAAGGGCGCGUAGGCGGCCUGUUAAGUCGAACGUGAAAUCCCCGGGCUCAACCCGGGAACUGCGUCCGAUACUGGCAGGCUUGAAUCCGGGAGAGGGAUGCGGAAUUCCAGGUGUAGCGGUGAAAUGCGUAGAUAUCUGGAGGAACACCGGUGGCGAAGGCGGCAUCCUGGACCGGCAUUGACGCUGAGGCGCGAAAGCCAGGGGAGCAAACGGG
rnacentral:rRNA from 1 species